AAAACCAAGUGAACGGUGCACACUGCACCAACGUCUCCAAAAGCUCUCGUUCUCUCUCUCUCUCUCUCGCUCUCUCUAACAGAUGGAAAUCAGUUAUCUAAAAUCAAUUGGGAACACUAUGGAAAUGUAUUUCCAAAAGCGUUUGACUACGUUCAUAUUUCUUAUAGGUGAAUGCACCAAUUUGUAAGUCGCUCUGGAUAAGAGCGUCUGCUAAAUGACUUAAAUGUAAAUGUUACGCCUAUUUACAUAGCCUAAUAAACACAUCUCCCAUAUAUUUAAAGUAAGACUUUUAAUAAAUAUACACUAAAUAAAGCAAAUAGACAUAUGCUCUGACAUAAAGAAAACACAGUAAUAGGUUUACAACCCACUAGCUACCCAAUGUAGGCCUAAAGCGGUCUGUUAAGAGAAUAUAGCCCUAUCAAAAAUCCGGGUGAUUAUUUGGCGGCAUUGUUUUCUUUUUAAGAAUAGCCUAUUUUGUCUUCCAAUAUUUUAACGAUUUCAUCUCAUGGUGGCUGUUCAACACUAAGCGCAUGAAUGCAAGCAGAAUUGCAACCUUAACGUCUGUGAUUUCUUAUAUUUUCUUGCGCCAGUCAGUGAAUAGGCCUAGCUGUUACAAAUGAUAAACACGUCAUUCACUUUCACUAGGAAUUUCGCGCGUAAAUGAACUACAUUGAAAAUCUGUUUCUUUUGUGACACCUUGUGCCAUCCUUUGAUUGGCCAAGCAUAACAUCAGUCAACAUUUAGCCGCACCUACCCCCACCCCAUCCAACCACUGGGUUUAAUGUGCUGUAUCUUUACUACAGUAUUAAUAAGAAGACGCCAGUCUCUGCAAACUGUGAACUCUGAAUCACAAAAUAUAGCUAUAUCUUUAGCUUCUAUUAAAGAAGAAAACCUACAAAUCCAACAUGCCCAAGAGAAAGGGAGCCGAUGGAGAUGUCAAGGAGGAGCCUUCAAGGAGAUCUGCACGGUUGUCAUCGAAACCAUCCCCUCCCAAACCAGCACCAAAACCAAAAAAGCCAGCUAAGAAAGAAAAAGAAGUAAAUGACAAGAAGAAGGAAGACAAGAAGAAGGUGAAGGCAGCAGCAGUCGAGGAGCCUAAAGAGGAGACCCAGUCUGAAAAUGGCGAGACCAAGACAGACGAAGUAGAGACUCCAGAAGAGAAGACUGAGUAGCACCUGUCCUGUCCGUCCAAUCCCCUCCCUUGUAUGGCCCCCAAGUCUCAUGUGUUUUCCCUAAAACUUCCAUUACCUUAUUAACAGAGGAAUAUUUUUAUCAACAAUUUUGUAAUUAUUGGUACAGGUUUUUAGCACAAAACAAAGCUAAAUAUGGAAGAUUGUUCUGUUGUGCAGUGGUCAUAUCAAGUGUUUUUAAGCAAACAUAAUUACGGUUUCGUUUUUUUAUUAGUGUUGGUACCUUGUUGGGAGCUCAAAAAAUAAUGCUGGCUGGCAGACUAAUUGCAGGUGGUAUAGUAUCACAUUGUAGGUUUGCCAACUCACAACAUUUCACUUUUGUUGGUGGUUGUAUUUUUACCCUUGAUAUGUGCAGUGUUUUUUCUUUAUGUGGGGGUUUACUUAUUUUCAACGUGAAUGUCUGUAAGAGGAAUUUAAAUAUAGAAAAAAUAUUGAAAACAUUCCAGGCUUAAUAAUGAUGUGGGCAUAACUGCUUUUGAAAUAAUCUUGCUCUGCAUUAUUUUGAUGACAAAUUAUUUUAACGGCAGAAGAGACUUGUUGGAAGUCGCUAAUGCUUUUUGAAACAAAUGUUGGGAUUUUUUAUUGAAAUAUGCCGCCAUCUGUUGUGUUCCCACUGAAGUUCUGGAUGUCUAAUUGGAAUUUAAUAAAAUAGUAAUUGGAAUUUUCCUCAUGAGGUUGUACUCUGUCUCAUUA
rnacentral:lncRNA from 1 species